GAUGAACGCUGGCGGCGUGCCUAAUACAUGCAAGUCGAGCGAACAGAUGAGGAGCUUGCUCCUCUGACGUUAGCGGCGGACGGGUGAGUAACACGUGGAUAACCUACCUAUAAGACUGGGAUAACUUCGGGAAACCGGAGCUAAUACCGGAUAAUAUAUUGAACCGCAUGGUUCAAUAGUGAAAGACGGUUUUGCUGUCACUUAUAGAUGGAUCCGCGCCGCAUUAGCUAGUUGGUAAGGUAACGGCUUACCAAGGCAACGAUGCGUAGCCGACGUGAGAGAGUGAUCGGCCACACUGGAACUGGGACACGGUCCAGACUCCUACGGGAGGCAGCAGUAGGGAAUCUUCCGCAAUGGGCGAAAGCCUGACGGAGCAACGCCGCGUGAGUGAUGAAGGUCUUCGGAUCGUAAAACUCUGUUAUUAGGGAAGAACAAAUGUGUAAGUAACUAUGCACGUCUUGACGGUACCUAAUCAGAAAGCCACGGCUAACUACGUG
rnacentral:rRNA from 1 species